AGACAUUUCGCUGCUGCACGAGAGGGAGAGAAAGCAUAGCAUCGCCCCGAGAUAACCAGAAAUACAAUCAACUUACAACGUCUCUCCAAACUGGAAAAGGCGACUGUGCAACCACCACCACAUGUUCAGGUCUCGAUCCCUCGGGCUGUCUCUCUUUUUUUUUAACUCUCACGCCAGGCAGAGGGGUGUGUGUUUCCCUUGGCACAGCAGCACAAAUCAAUAAACACUGCAGCUGCGGUGCAAGUAGCAGCCCCGCGCGUCCGUCGGUCCGUCCGCCCCCUCCCCCACCCUCCUUCCACCCGAGACCCAGAGCGCCAUCCAAGCCCCAUUAUCCGGCUUCAGCGCUCCGUGCGUCCGGCCCAGGUAACAACUUCCCCAAAAACCGAAAGAGAAAAGCGCGAGGCGCACGCACACCGGCCCAUCCCGGCGCAGAGACCUCGUCUGCCCCGGGAGGGGGAUCUGUCUGUGGUGCUUCCCGGUCUCUAAGCCCAGGUAACAACUCCGCAAACACACCCGCCGCCCAGCUCGCCCCCAUCCGCGCGGCUCCCGGCGGCGUUAAGUGGGUACCUUUCCUGCCUUGUUCCCCGCGCCGCCCCGCCGCGCCCCGCCAAACGUGGACCCCACUCGCGGGGCUCGCCGCGGAGUCCCCAGGCCGGGGCUCUGGGCCGGGCAGCGGGAGGCGCCAGGGAGGAGGGGCGCUUAGGGACCCGCGCCCCCGCGCCUCUAAUCCCCGUUACGCGAGCGCGCCCGGCCCGCGGGUCCCAACUUUACCGCCGCCGGCCGAACCCUGUCCGCCCGCGGCGCGCACAGCCGGCGCCCGCGCACACGCGCGCACAAACCCCACGCAACCCGCGGCCGCCCCGUCCCGCCGCCGCCGCAGCCCGCCUGCCGCGCGCCCACAGCCCGGCCCGAGUCGCGGGGCCCGAGCGACAGCGACGGCGCCGGCCGGGGCCGCGGCGCGCGGAAGCCACUUUGCACGGUCAGCGCCGGGCACAAGUUUGUUCCGCGGCUCCCGGGGGCCUGGGCGCUGAGGGAGAAUCGCGCUGAGGGGGCCAGGAGGAGGGGGAGAGGGAGGCGCCGAAGGGCACAAGAGUGGGGAAAAGUGCGGAAAGAAGCAACAGCCGCUCCACCCGGGACCAGAAAAGUGGCCAGUGCGUCCCGGCCGCCCGCCCUGCGCCGGGGAUGCGGCGGCGUCGGCGCCGGCUAACGGUCCAGGGAGGCGGCAGGGGCGGCGGGAGCCGCUAGGCGGAGAGAGACCAGGGACGCCUGGUUUCCCCCCAAGCGAACCGGGAUGGGAAGUGACUUCAAUGAGAUUGAACUUCAGCUGGAUUGAAAGAGAGGCUAGAAGUUCCGCUUGCCAGCAGCCUCCUUAGUAGAGCGGAAUGAGUAAUACCCACACGGUGCUUGUCUCACUUCCCCAUCCGCACCCGGCCCUCACCUGCUGUCACCUCGGCCUCCCACACCCGGUCCGCGCUCCCCGCCCUCUUCCUCGCGUAGAACCGUGGGAUCCUAGGUGGCAGGACUCAGAGCUAAGGUAUCCACAGGCCAUGAAUUCCUUCCUAAAUGAGCGGUCAUCGCCGUGCAGGACCUUAAGGCAAGAAGCAUCGGCUGACAGAUGUGAUCUCUGAACCUGAUAGAUUGCUGAUUUUAUCUUAUUUUAUCCUUGACUUGGUACAAGUUUUGGGAUUUCUGAAAAGACCAUACAGAUAACCACAAAUAUCAAGAAAGUCGUCUUCAGUAUUAAGUAGAAUUUAGAUUUAGGUUUCCUUCCUGCUUCCCACCUCCUUCGAAUAAGGAAACGUCUUUGGGACCAACUUUAUGGAAUAAAUAAGCUGAGCUGUAUUUCAAGUAAUAUAGUUAUAAAUUAACAAUGUAGCAGUUAUUGAUAGAGAAAUUGAGAAAACUGAAACGUGACCGGAGUAUUGGAAAUAACGUAGUACAUCACCUAGCACAAUGACACAUAGUAGGUGCUCAAUAAAUUUAUGCUUAUAAUUUUUGUCACUUCUAUGGCAGGAUUUUUUUAUUAGGUUAAAAUUAUCUUUUAAACACCUUCCGGAAUUUUAGAAUAUUCAUUAAUAAUGUCUUCAAACCUUUCAACUGAAAUAAAUUUACAGCUGAAGUCUGAUGAUUUAAAGUUAGAAAGUUUAAUCUUGAAUAUAAAUGAACAUUUUCUCUCCCACAUUUUCUUGGGCAUUUUGAGAAGUAAAUGCGUUAUUUAUUGGUCCAUGAAAUGUGACUGUAAAUAUUCUUUGCUAUACAUUAUGUCUAUAUAUCUGCAUUCAUCCUCAAUGCCAAAACUAGAAUCAUUAGUCUUAAUGAUCAUUUUAAGUACAGGCAGUCCUCGCUUUCCUUGAUACCAUGUUAACCGAAACUUGUGUAUGUCAACACGGUGUCCUUGCUUUGCUUGGUUAAGUGUGAGUUCUUCCUCCCUUUUUUUAAGAGUUGUACAAUGUUUUUCAGUCGCCUACCGAAUCAGGUCAUAGACUAUGGAAUUGACCCCACCCCACCAACAUUUUUACAGCUACCCUGAUUUCUGACCAGAAAGGAAAAAAAAACUUUCCAGCUCUAUCACACAUUUUACCUACUCUUAAACUUAGGAGGUAUUACAAAUAGCAUUUUCUCAUGUUCUCUUUCUGGCCUGUACCUCCCUGCUAAGCUUCCUUCAGUGUUCAUCCUCACCUCAUAGAGAGAUGAAGUGAAGAGACAAACAGAAGUCAUUUUCUUCCUUACUUUAGUGGUUUCUGGUUUAGUUAGUUUGGGCCAAACUGUGGACAAGUACCUUUUCAGGUAACUUUUUUUUCUUAUUUCUAUGUCCUCAACACCUAGUGGAGUACGUAGCCAAUAGUAGAUGCUUAAUAAACAUUUCUUAAAUUAAUAUUGUUGACCUUUUCUGACCCUGUUCUUGACAGUAAGGUACAUAAUCUGCCUUCAUCCCUUUAGUCCUUAGGAACAGAUAAAGUCAUGGAUAUGAAAGUGAUCACUGUCAUUAAUAUCCACAUUAAAAUUGCUCUUGAUUUUAGUUUCUCCAUAAUCAUUUUCCCUAAACAAUGAACUCUGUUCACCUUUUUUUUUAAAAUAUGCACAGUGAAUAUUACUGGUAGCCCAAAUCUUCUAACAUAAAAUUUCCAUUUUGUAAAAGCUUCUGAUAAGCAUAUAUGUUAUGAAUUGAAUGUUUGAUUAUUAUACUUUAAUAUUCUUGAAAAUAUUGAUACCUGGACUGGAAAGAAAACAGACAAAAGUAAAUCUCAGAAUAAAUUACUGCUUUAAACAUGAUGCAUGUGUGACGGUUGCUUCUUAUCUCUUAAAUACAGCUAAAGAAUAGGGGAAAAAUCUUUAGAAUCAAUUUAUAAAAGAAGAUUAUUAAAAUUUAGGUUUAUUCAAAUCAAACGGUAGGGGAUACUAAUAUAUGACUUUAACAUGUAUCCUGCAUUCUUGGUUUUAGUAAUUGUAGUGCUGUCAUACAGCAUACAUUCAAUAUAUAUGCUUAUUUUUAAUAUGUCAAUGAAAUGUUAACACACUGCUUCUACUGAGCACUGGGAUUAUAUAUGCUGAAGGGAAGAUAUUCUAAAAAUGAAUUUCUAUACUAUUCCAAAUUUACAGGGAAAAAUGUAAAUGGAUAGAAUAGUUCCAAUACUGAGUUUUUUCUAUAAAUUUUUCAUAAACCCUUUGCACCUAUUUGCUUUUCAUAUAUGAUUCCUGUAUAAAUUAGGAUAAAAUUUGACAUAAAAUUAUCUUAAGUUUAAAAUGUAGAGAUUUCACGGUGUUCCACAUGAAGCAUAUCAUUCCCACAUACCUCUUCCAAAACACAUUGAGAAGUGCAAUGUAUAAUUCUCUAGUCUUCAUCAAAAUUUAAAGUUCGUUAAUUUCAUGGAAGGAUAGCAUGUAAAUGCAACUCUUGAAUUCAAUACCUAAUUUUAAUCUUAGAGUUUUUGAAGGAAAAAGAAUGUGAUACAUGUUAUCCCUCAAAGUACAGAAUGUAGAGGUCCCAUAAAGCCGCUACUCAAUUCUUGUCUCUGACCAUGGCUCCUGACCUACAGUAAUUCUGGAUUUGCAGUUCACCGUGGAACAAAGGAGGGCAAUGGUCAUUUCACUGUUGCAGUCUCACCAAAUUCUGCAGUCAUUGAGUCAGGAAGGAAACAUGACUACAGGGUGAUGCAGAACCCACAGUUGGCCACAGGACCCAUGCCAGCCCUUCGAAUACAGCCUCCCAGGAGAUAUCACAGGGACAAAUGUUUUCUCCAUACUUCCAUGUGAUUUUUGUUACAUAGUUUACCACAGAAUGGUUCUUACCCCUCUGGGGAAUGAGGCUCCUAUUUUUAAUGUAAGUCAAUGAAAUGUUAACACGUGUAGUUUCUUAUUUACGAGGUGAUUUUUCAGGAACGUGUGUAAUACAGAGAUAGAUAUAAAUAUAUGGAGAAAGAUGUUUGCAGGAUGUCGGUGAAUAUCCAAAAAGUAAAACUAGUGUUUUCCAUGAAGUCACAGUAAUUAAAAAGGAUUUCUUUCAAAGGCUGCCUCCAUAGAAGUUAGAUUGUAGUUUCUAUUACUAAUAUUACUUAUGAAUAUGAAUAACAUUUAAUUUUUUCUACACUUAAUUAUAUGUAGGUAACUUGAGAGGAAGCAACACACAUAUUUUUGAUUUAAGUGAAUUUUAAUUAUUUACCAUGAUAUCAGUGGUCUGAUAGCUGGUUUCUACUGCUGUUUUUUCUCUUUUGUAUCCACGUAUUUCUUUUUUCUGUCAUCUUGACUUCUUUUAGCAGCUGAUUGAUUCUGUUACAGAGUAUGGCUGUUUCUUUGACCUACAGUGCUGGUGUUCUGUAAACCACAGAUCCUCAGUUACAGUCGUUGCCUCUGAACAGAGGCAAGGAUUGAACAUCCUUGGUGUACAUGCAUUUAAAAUGUUUGCAAUCAGUAACAGGUUUUAGAUGUUCUACCAUUGUAUUAAACUUACAUGAGAAAGAUGGUGAUAAAUACCCUGUGUCCAAUUAUAUCCACAACUUUAAGAUCCCUGGUCACACCCUUCUCAUUCUCUUCAGACCUCAGGCCUCUAUUUCUUUUCUCUCUCUCUUUAUCCUACUUACAUAAAUAGAUCAGACAUUGUGCCCCUCCCCCACUGUUUUACUUUGUAAUCAUUCCCUUCCUCUGUCUUUCUUUGUGCCCGCUCUGUUUGGAUCAUUUCCCUUUCUCUUUUUGUUUAAAAUUUUUUGAAUCGUUCCAACUCUGUGAAAUGCUUUGCUUUUUCAUAUUAUCCUUGUUAUGCUCUGUCCUUCAAAGUCCAUUCUCUGCCUUUCCAUGCUCUGCGAGGCUGACUUCUGUGGAAGUCACGUCACCCAGGCUUCUUUGCCCUCUGGUUCCUAUUUGGUUUCAGCCAAUUUGGAGGCUUUGGCAAAUGAUCAGAGAAAGGAAAAAGAGAGAGGUCAGGAUAUUUAUUCUAUUCCCUGCUGCCUGGCUGUGGCUCUAGCUUCGUUCCUCUACCUGAGGUCCCUGGCUCCUGUCCGACACCCUCAUCCCAUGGCCACAGGUCUUGCCAAGUUCCAGAAACUGCUUCUUCUCUUUGUGUCUUCAGGCCCAGGGUGGUAAUGAUUGAUUGCUUCAUCACUCCUUCCUUUAAAACCUGUCCACACCUCUGUAAAUAGUCUCUUCAUUAAACUCUCUUCAGAGUAUCCUUUGAAUGUGCUAUAUGCUUCCGGCCAGGACCCUGAGUAAUAUGCGUAUAGAAAUAAAGCAUUUUAACCUUAUUUCUUACCAACCAAUAAUUCUGCUAUUUCCAUUAAUUACAAUACUAAUGUUAAAUGUGAUAUAAAUGUCUUAUGUCAUUUGUUGAACAAGUAUAUACUCACGUUCCAAUGUAUGUACUUGCAAAAUCUGGCAAACACUAUCACGUAGUAAUUAUUCAAUAACCUAUUUGUGGAAUGAUGGCCUCUGCCUUAAUCUAAAAUCUAGGCGAGACAACUUUUACAUAUUUAAAACAAUGAGAGAAAAAAAUCAUACCACAAUAUUAAGAUAGAGCUAAUUGUCCCUAAUAUGUUUCUUCCUCUUUUAAAAUUAUAGAACUGUCCAUUUUUAUCACACUUGAAAUAAUUCUUAGCUGGGUGUGGUGGUUCAUGCCUAUAAUCCCAGUGCUUUGGGAAGCCAAGGCAGGAGGAUUGCUUAAGGCCGGGUGUUGGAGCCCAGCCUGGGCAACAUAGCAGGAUUACUCUCUACAAAAAAUUUUAAAAUUAGCUAAGCAUCGUAAAGCGCACCUACAGUUGCAGCUACUCAAGAAGCUGAGGCAGGAGGAUGACUUGAGCCCAGGAGUUCAAGGGUGAAGUGAGCUCUGAUCACACAACUGCACUUCAGCCAGGGCAACAGAGUGAGACCUGCCUCUAGGAAAAAAAAAAUGGUUCUGUUUCUCUUCUUGUAUGUAUCUAGGUCUCACUAUGCUACUUAGUUCUGGCCAAAGAGAUGUAAGUGGUGUGCACAACAUUGACAAAGAUCUUCAAAAACAGAUGCUUCACCAUCCUUUCCCUUCCUCCUGUGGAUUGAAAUCCUGCUAGAUUUUCUCAACUUGGGCAGAGCUGUCUAGAGCUCCUUAAGUUAUGCAGAGCAAAAAGACUGAAGGAGCCUGAGUCCUUGACACUAUGGAAUACCAUUACCAGCCCUGGACUUCCUCCUCCAGAUUUCUCUUUCUCUUAGAAAGAAACAAAUAUACCUCUUGCUUCAGCUGCCAUUCUCUUAGGUUUUCUGUCAUAUGCAGCCAAAGUUAAUCCUGUUCCAUGUGGGAAUGUGUAUUUGUUUCCUAUUGCUGCUGUUAAAAAUUACCACAAACUUAGUGGAUUAAAACAACAUAAAUCGGCCAGGCUCAGUGGCUCACACCUUUAAUCCCAGCACUUUGGGAGGCCGAGGUUGGCGGAUCGCUUGAGCUCAAUAGUUCGAGACCAGCCAGGCAACAUGGUGAAACCCUAUCUCUACAAAAGGUACAAAAAUUAGCUGAGCAUGGUGGCACAGGCCUGUAAUUCCAGCUACCUGGGAGGCUGAGGUGGGAAGAUGACUUGAGCCCAGGAGGUGGAGGCUGCAGUGAGCCAUGUUUGCACCACUGCAUUCCAGUUUGGGCAACAGAGACCUGUCUCCAAAAAAAAAUUGUUUUAAUUAAAAGAAAAGUAAAUGUAUUAUCUUACUAUUUUGGAAGUGAGAAGUCCAAAGCAGGUCUCACAAGACUCAAAUCAAGGUUUUGUCAGAAUUGAGUUCCUUCAGAAGGGCCUAGGGGAGACUCCAUUUCCUGGCCUGUUUCAGCUUCUAGAUGCUGCUCACAUUCCUUGGUUUUGAGCCUCUUCCUCCGUCCUCAAAGUCAGCAACAUCCAACAGAGUCCUUUGCAUCUUGCCAGCUCACUCGUUCCUCUAUUCUGCCUCCCUCUUCCAGUUAUAAGGGCCUUAGUGACUAAACUGGGCCCACCCAGAUAAUUCAAAAUAUCUCUUCAUUUAAAGGUCAGCUGAUUAGCAUGCUUAAUUCCAUCUACAAUGUAAAUUCCCCUUUGCCAUAUAACCAAACCUUUUCCCAGGUUUGGGGGAUUAGGACGUGGACAUCGUUGGGAGCCACUAUUCCACCACUCACAGUAUGCAAGUUUUGUAUUUCAUGAUUGAGAAAUAUGUUUUAUUUGUUCAUCUUUAAUUUGCAGAUUUAUAGCAUUAUGCUAAUUGGUCAUUACUCUGUAUAUAACAUUUACAUUGUGCCAUGUAGAAGUUUUAAUUGUUCAUUAGUUCAUUUAUUCAACUAAUAUUCUUUUUUUUUUUUUUUGAGACAGAGUCUCCCUCUGUCACCCAGGCUGGAGUGCAGUGGCAGGAUCUUGGCUCACUGCAACCUCUGCCUUCCGGGUUCAAGCGAUUCUCCUACCUCAGUCUUCUGAGUAGCUGGGAUUACAGGCAUGCAUCACCGUGCUCAGCCAAUUUUUUGUAUUUUUGGUAGAGACGGGGUUUUACCAUAUUGGCCCGGCUGGUCUCGAACUCCUGACCUCAGGUGAUCCACCCGCCUUGGCCUCUCAAAGUGCUGGAAUUACAUGUCUAACAUUCUUGAGCAUAUUAUAUGUGGCAGACACUGCAUGGAACUGUAAAUGCCUAAUAUGGUCCCUGACCUCAAGAAGCUUACAGGUUUGUGGGAGAAACAUAUAUUAAAAGGCUGACACAAAUGUCAAGGAAAUAUGGUUUACCUAAGAGAAAGAUCUAAACAAACCCAGAGUCAAGGAAAUCUUUCUUGGAGAAGUAAUAGUGUUGUCAGAAGAGUAGGAGAAGAGAGUAUUAAAGGCAGAAGUUACAGCAUAUGCAGAAAUCUCAAAAUGAAAGUAUAGUGCUUUGUGGUACAAAUCCAAUAGCAUCAAAGCAUUGAAUAAAAUGGGCUCAUAGUUCCAGAUGAGGCCUCAGAGGUCAGUAAGCAGGAGCCAAGCCGUACAAAGGUGCCAAGGACGUGGGAUGUUGCACUGAAAGCACCUGUAGGCCAUGAAGGGCCUUGAAGUUAACAGCGUCUACCGUAUAGAAGAUGUGAAUUAGUGUUCUGUGAGGGAAACGAAAAAGUGAGCAGGACAGCAUCAAGAGAACUUAACUUUUUAAAAAAUUUCAGUUGUUAUUUUAGACACAGGGGAUACAUGUGUAGGUUUGUUAUAUGGAUAUAUUGCACCCGGGUAGUCGGCAUAGUACCUGGUAGGUAGUUUUUCAACCCACACCCCUCCCUCUCUCUAGUAGUCUGCAGUACCUGUUGUUCCCAUGUUUAUGUCCACGUGUACUCCAUGCUUAGCUCCUAUUUGUCAGUGAGAACAUGUGGUAUUUGUAUUUUUCUGUCCUUGCAUUAAUUUUGAAUAAUCAUGUAAGAAGGAAUAAUUCUGCAAGGAAAAGCAACACAAAAAUAAGAUGUGACUUUGCAAAUUAAGCACACAUAAACAAUAAUAUUUGCAGAUUAUCUUUUUUUUUUUUUUUUUGAGACAGGGUCCUGCUCUGUUGCCCAGGCUGGAGUGCAGUGGUGCGAUCAUGACUCACUGAAGCCUCGACCUCCUAGGCUUAAGCGAUCUUCCCAUCUCAUCCUCCCAAGUACCUGGGACUACAGGCGUGCACCACCAUGCCUGGCUAAUUUUUUGUACUUUUUGUAGAUACGGGGUUUCGCCAUGUUGCCCAGGCUGGUCUAGAACUCCUGGGCUCAAAUGAUCCUCACACUUUAGCCUCCCAAACUGCUGAGAUUACAGGAAUGGGCCCCCCUAUGCAGCCUAGAUUAUUUUAACAAGUAGUGCUGCACUGCUGCUAAAAGUUCAGCAAUAUAAAGCAUAAUUAAUAUUUCCCAUGUUUACAAUAUUAAUAAAGUUGUUCCAGGUGAUACCUUUUUACAGUGGUCUUUCCAGGUCCUAAUACUGCCUUAGUACAAGGCAUGCCCUCAAAAUUAUAUGAUAUAUGAAUUAAUAUAAAAAAGAGUCCCCAACGUAUUUUUUAAUACUUGCUAUUUUUUCAUUAUUAUAUUUACUGCAGCCUAACAUAUACUAAUGUCCUGUCAUUCAGAUUCUGCAUCUUCUAGAUUACCUGACAUAUUUCUGAGAAGGCAAAUUAGUUUUCUUUCCCUCGAUUUCAGAUUACCUCAGCAUUUCUCCAGGUGUAUCAGAAUUCUUGGGGAUUAGACAACCACAUCCUGGUAUGGACUUAGAAUACCCAAGAAUACCCAGAAUAGCUAGUAAUUCCCUCACAUACAUCCGGGUACUUUGUACAUAUCACUACUGUGGUGUUUAUCACUUUUGUUUUUUCAUUUUAUUUUUAUUUUUGUUUGUUUUUGUUUUUAGACAGAGUUUUGCUCUUAUUGCCCAGGCUGGAGUGCAAUGGCACGAUCUCAGCUCACUGCAACGUCUGCCUCCCAGGUUCAAGCGAUUCUCCUGCCUCAGCCUCCCGAGUAGCUGGGAUUACAGGGCCUACUGCAGUGCAUGAAGGUGGUAUGGACUCAGAACUCUGAAGUCUGAGGAGACAAAUACAUGCCCACCAUAACAACAUCACACAAUACCUAGAGUCAAAACAGUUAUCCCUAUUCCUACCCCCAACUGAGUUAUUCAAUAAAGCCUGCCUUGUUGAAUCUGUUUUCCCAUGUAUAGUUUAUAUAGUUACAUAACAAUUAGUUUUUUCCAUAUACUUAGGAUAACUACAUGUAAUUUAGUAUUCUGCUGUUUUCACUUACAUAUCACAUACAUUUUCCUGAUACAGGUACAUAGUCUUUAUAUUUGUCAUUUUUCACUUGACUGCUAUGUUUCUCAAAUUGAUAUACUGUCAUUUCCUAAGCCAGUUAUAUAUUGUUGAACAUUUAAAUUACUCCCUUUUUUGGUUUGUAAAUAAACAUUGUUAUGAAAUAGUUUUUGUUUGGUUGGUUUUUGAUCAUUUCCUGGGAAAGUAUUCUCAAAACUGAAAUUACUGAAUCAGUGGGAGUGAACACAGGUGUGUCUUUUAAAAUAUUUUAUCUCAUUGUGGUUUUGAUUUGCAUUUCUCU
rnacentral:lncRNA from 1 species